rnacentral:tRNA from 1 species
GGCAAGAUGGCCGAGUUGGUUAUGGCGCCAGGUUAAGGUCCUGGUGGAGAAAUCCUCCUGGGUUCAAGUCCCAGUCUUGUCA